rnacentral:lncRNA from 1 species
GGGAAGGAUGAUUUGAAAGAUAGUGGAAUUCUUAUCAGAAAACAGGCAGGCUAGAAUGAAAUGGCAUAGCAGUUUUAAAGUACUGAAUGUAGAAUAUUAGGUUGAAUGUUCUUUUUCUCUGUCUUUCUAUAGCCUUCUCCCCUUCUUUACAUGCCCUCCUGUCUGAAAAGGCUUAAGAAAACAUCUUCAGGAUAGAACUUUGAAAAUGAUGUUUAUCGGUAAAAUUUUCACUGACUUUCCACUUCUAAUUCAACUAAUAAUAUGGCAUUAAGUAAUAAACAUCAGCAUAAAUAGUGUAAAAAUAAUGCUCAGUACCCAGAAUGUAUUUAAUCUAAGAGUUUCUUUAUGUGUUUUUUGGGGUUUUUUUUGCAGUAGAGUAGGAGGAAAAUGGAAUGGAAAGGACCAAGGCAAUUAAUAAGGCAGAUGCUGAUAAGAAACAGCAAGAAGUUGUGACGGUGUAGAGCCAAGAUAAAAUAAUUGCUAAAAACACAAAUACACACAAUUAUAGGUUAUCUAGUUGGUUUACAAGUAAAAUAUAUAAUGUAAAGUAUGUUCCAGAAAAUAUAUAUUAAAAUAUCAAAAGUUUCCUAACUUUUUGGUUUCAGAGAACAUCAUUCUGUUGUAUUUAGCCCAGUAUGCUUAUUGAUAUUUGUAACCAUAUAAAAUAUAAAAUUUAUAUUUUAUUUAUGUAAAAUGACCAAAAACUUGAUAUGACCAAAAACUUUUUCUCCCCAAAACUGUAUAUAAAGAUUCCAUAAUUUAGCAAAUAUCCUUAAGG